CCUACGGGAGGCAGCAGUGGGGAAUUUUGGACAAUGGGGGCAACCCUGAUCCAGCCAUUCCGCGUGAGUGAAGAAGGCCUUCGGGUUGUAAAGCUCUUUUGUCGGGGACGAAACGGUUACGAUUAAUACUCGUGACAACUGACGGUACCCGAAGAAUAAGCACCGGCUAACUACGUGCCAGCAGCCGCGGUAAUACGUAGGGUGCGAGCGUUAAUCGGAAUUACUGGGCGUAAAGCGUGCGCAGGCGGUUUUGUAAGCCAGAUGUGAAAUCCCCGGGCUUAACCUGGGAAUGGCAUUUGGGACUGCAAGGCUAGAGUAUGGCAGAGGAGACUAGAAUUUCUGGUGUAGCAGUGAAAUGCGUAGAUAUCAGAAGGAAUACCGAUGGCGAAGGCAGGUCUCUGGGUCAAUGCUGACGCUCAUGCACGAAAGCGUGGGGAGCAAACAGGAUUAGAUACCCUGGUAGUCCACGCCCUAAACGAUGUCAACUGGUUGUUGGGAGAUUUAUUCUCUUAGUAACGAAGCUAACGCGUGAAGUUGACCGCCUGGGGAGUACGGUCGCAAGNUUAAAACUCAAAGGAAUUGACGGCUGAGACGNGCGACGACGACGACGAGGGAGGAGG
rnacentral:rRNA from 1 species